GUCACAGCUCAGCUGGUAGAGCAUGAGACUCUUAAUCUCAGGGUCGCAAGUUUGAGCCCUGUGUUGGGCAACA
rnacentral:tRNA from 1 species